rnacentral:rRNA from 1 species
AAACCGGAGGAAGGUGGGGAUGACGUCAAGUCCUCAUGGCCUUUAUGACCAGGGCUACACACGUACUACAAUGGCCGGUACAAAGGGCAGCGACACAGCGAUGUGAAGCCCAAUCCCGAAAAGCCGGUCUCAGUCCGGAUUGGAGUCUGCAACUCGACUCCAUGAAGUUGGAAUCGCUAGUAAUCGCGGAUCAAGCACGCCGCGGUGAAUACGUUCCCGGGCCUUC